UCGUUCCUUUGGUGAUAUAUUACCAGUCCUUUGUACUUUAUUAAUUGAAAAUAGCAUACCGGAUCCGGAUAAAGUAUAAAUAAAAAGUAUCAUAUGUUAGAAACACAUAUAAUUAUGAGUUAAAUAGAUCAAAUUACUUGUAAAUUUAAAACCUAUCCUUAACCAGGCGUUUCCCGACUGACGUGAUCGUAGAGCAUAUAAUUGAGAUCGUUUUAGGCAAAUAUAGCUGAAAUACUUACAUUUUAGCAGUUUAAAAUAAUAAUACAAAUUUAUGUGCAUACAUACUUUAUAUCGAAACUUCAUAUCAAAUGAAUCGU
rnacentral:lncRNA from 1 species